UGGACUGGAUGCCUGCACAAACUACGGAGUCUACAUGUCCGUCGUGACGAUCUCUGGGUAUGUCAGCGGAGAAGUUGGCACCAACUUCACGACCUCCGUCGCCAUCCCGUCGGCCCCACAGGAACUCCAAGUCGAAGGGACGACGGAGAGGUCUAUAAGCUUGCUUUGGUUCGCUCCUCGGACCAACAAAGCUUGCACAACGCCUACUACCUAACGUGGACCAGCGCUGACGAUGAAGGAGCACUAACCCUCGAUGAGCCUACGAAACCAUUUGAAAUUAAGAAAAACAUUGACGGUCUUCAGCCCUGCACUAAAUACUUCCUAACCCUCUCGGCCGUGACGACAUCUGGAGAACACAGCGAACCAGCCAGGCUAGACGCAUCUACUUCGUGCUAACAGACGAACUUCAUGCUUUUCUCAGCUUUUUAGCAUUUAAAAAAAAGAGAGUAAAUGGUAAUCUAAGAAAAGGCUGAAAAAUCAGUGUAUCACGCAAUAGGAUCUCUGCAACCGACCAAGCAUUGAUGAUUUUCGUGGUACAAUCAUGACCCUCAAUAAAAGAACAGCCCUGUAGGCUUGAUUUAUAACUUCGCAACACUAU